AUGUUUUGACACAGUUAGUGCAUUGAUUUAAUCUAAACAAGUGCUCCAUCUAGCUUGGCUAUGGUCAAGCCUGGGGACGAAUAAACUUGAUGGCACAACAAUUGCUAUUUCAAAUGGUCACAGACUCGGGCAAUAAUAUUAGAGGUGAUAUCUUUGAGAAGGCCAACAAUCAAUGAGUACCUAUUAUGAACCAUGUCUGGAUAAGGAACAAGUUCAAGUGGUGGUUGUAUUUAAGUAUUGUACUAGAAGGAUGUUUAUAUUUGUCAUUUUAUUACUAAACAUGUUAUCAUGGUUAAACUUAUUGUUCAUGCGUAGGUUAUCCAACUUAAAUCUUUUGUAAUUAAUGAAUGUGAAAGAAGUUGUUAUGGAUCAUUAUUGUUGUAGUUAAGUUUGUAUGAAAAUUGAGAUUCAUUUAGUUUGCAUAAUAUUAUGGACAGUUGUCUUUUGUUUUUUUGUUUGAUAACCAAGUGUUCGGGUCAACUACGCACACCUCGACUAAUUCUGAGACUCACGCAAUGUGCCCUCUCCACGUGGAUCGGACAAAUCUCGAGUAGAGUUUGAAGGUGUGAACCGUUGCCUUUUAUUCAAACAAAUGUAGCUUUCAUAGUAUGCAACACUGGUGAAUGGUGAGAUUCUCAAAAAGGUUGUAAGUGGAGCUUGUGUGAACGGUGCAACUGCAACCGCUGCAGGGAGCAAAUCUAUGCAGUAUAUGGUGCAAAAUACGGAUGUGAAAAACCAUUCACAUAUUUACUAUAAAUCACGAAACUUCCAAAACACAAAAUUUAGCAUGUGUUUGGCCCUACGGUCAUGGAAACACGUUUGAGAAUGUUAAAAAGGUUGCAAGUGGAGCCUGUGUGCACAGUGCUAGUAGAAUGGAACCUGUGCGUGGUGCAAAUGUAGCUUGUGCAUAGUGCAAUGUAUAUAUUGUGCACGGUGCAAAAUGUGGAUUGUGCAUGGCACAAAGUAUGGACUGUGCAUAUAAACUGUAAAUUAUUAGACUUUCCAAACACAAAACAGUAGUUUAUAGUGAAUAACAACCUAUAUAGUUUAUAUGCAUCAAUUAAUAUACUAAUUAGUGUAUCAAUUGAUAAUGUGAUAUAAUUUAAGAAAUUUUUAAUAUUUUUAAUUUGUAUAAUGAAUGAAGUUAAUAAUAAUGUCACAACUAACAUUAAUACACUACUUAGUAUACUAAUUAGUGUAUGUAAUACUACGGAUAGUUUACAUAUCUGUAAAAAGCAUGGUGCAUAGUCCGCAACAAAUUAGAAGGAUAAUAAAGUAGCUAGUGAACAACAACUCAAGAAAAAAAACAUUUGAUAGACUAGGGUCAUGUCCUAUAAUUGACAAUACUCAAACAACUUAAUAAUGUACGAUGAACUAAAAUUGCCCCCGUCAUGUCUCAUUUAAAUAUAUGUAUUGUAUAAAUAGUAGUAAAAAAAUUAUGCAUUGUUCCGAUCAACCGAUAGGACGAUUGGUUAGUCUAAAUUUUCCUGCCUUGAACAGAGUUUUCAAAAGUGAACGUAGAAUUAAUUUUUAAAAACCAUAAAUAAAUACAGUGUGCAAAUUAAAAUCUGGAAUUAACGUUCCAAACUCUACCAAACAGGGCCUAAAAUUACAAUUGUGUUUGUUUGGGCCUAGUGUAGUUAACACCACUGUUUUGGCCGAAUUCUCACUCUAGUGUCGGUCUAGGUAGGAGAAAGCCCCCAACUUCAAACCCUCACCUCUCUCAGGCUUCACCGCCAUUGGAGAACCUUGAACAACUUACACUAUUUUUCUCUAUCAACUACUCUCACUCCAAUUUGACCUUCCAAGAGGCUCUCUAGUUGGGAGGCUGUCUGCAUAGUACCGUUGAAGUCCUGUAGCCCUCUCCUUCUCAUAACUUAGCCUCAAAGAUUGUGUCUCUGCAAUCUACAUGGUUUUAUCGCAGAGGCGUGGGCAUGCCACAGCUGAUGUUCCUCAACCCCGAACCCCAGCUUAUAUUGUCAAGGCAUUUUUACCUGUGAUCGAAUCAUUUGGCUUUGAGAUAGACCUGAGGUAUCAUACCCAAGGCUCAUUCAACACCUGGCUCGUGAGUUUAUGGUGAAGACAAGACGUAUAAAGGGAAUCAGCAAAGAUGUGAGCAUCAACAAGUUUUUCGAUGAGGCCAUGGUGGUAGAGCUAUCUCAGCAGGCGACUGAUCUUCAUCAGCAAAUGAUUUAAAUGGGAAGACUCUAGGCUCCAAUGGAAGGAGAUGUGUUUUUUUUAGUAGUCAUUGGUGUACUCUUAUUGAAGCUAUGAAUGUCUUUCUUUUAGGUUCACCAACAUGACAAUUUCCUCAUAAAUUCCUAUUACUAGAGAAAGAAAAAACAGGGGAAAAAAGGUUAAGAACUUGUAGAUGUUGAAUUAUGAAAUGUUUUUUUAUUAUUUUUUUUAUAGAAAAUUGUGCUAUGGUUGUCUGGUGUUU